GACGAACGCUGGCGGCGUGCUUAACACAUGCAAGUCGAACGGAAAGGCCCUGCUUUUGUGGGGUGCUCGAGUGGCGAACGGGUGAGUAACACGCGAGUAAACUGCCCUUGAAAUUGGGAUAACUUCUGGGAACUGGGGCUAAUACCGGAUAGGAGCUUCUGCUGCAUGGUGGGGGUUGGAAAGUUUCGGUGGUUGGGGAUGGUCUCGCGGUAUAGCCGCUUGUUGGGGAGGUAGUGGCUUCCCAGGGUUUUGACGGGUAGCCGGCCUGGGAGGGUGACCGGCCACAUUGGGCGUAGGGAACGGCCAGUACGCAUACGGACGCAAGCGGUGGGAACUUUAGAGAAAUGGGCGGAGGCCGGAUGGAAGAUCGCCGGUUCGGGAAAGUCGCCUUCGGGUUGUAAACCGCUUUCGCCUGUGACGAAGCGUGAGUGACGGUAAUGGGUAAAGAAGCACCGGCUAACUACGUG
rnacentral:rRNA from 1 species